rnacentral:rRNA from 1 species
CCUACGGGCGGCUGCAGUGGGGAAUAUUGCACAAUGGGCGCAAGCCUGAUGCAGCCAUGCCGCGUGUGUGAAGAAGGCCUUCGGGUUGUAAAGCACUUUCAGCGGGGAGGAAGGCGUUAAGGUUAAUAACCUUGUCGAUUGACGUUACCCGCAGAAGAAGCACCGGCUAACUCCGUGCCAGCAGCCGCGGUAAUACGGAGGGUGCAAGCGUUAAUCGGAAUUACUGGGCGUAAAGCGCACGCAGGCGGUCUGUCAAGUCGGAUGUGAAAUCCCCGGGCUCAACCUGGGAACUGCAUUCGAAACUGGGAGGCUAGAGUCUUGUAGAGGGGGGUAGAAUUCCAGGUGUAGCGGUGAAAUGCGUAGAGAUCUGGAGGAAUACCGGUGGCGAAGGCGGCCCCCUGGACAAAGACUGACGCUCAGGUGCGAAAGCGUGGGGAGCAAACAGGAUUAGAUACCCCUGUAGUC